GGAGCUGCCUCCAGAUCUGGUGCGUUUCUCCCUCCGGGAAUAAAACCCUGAGAUGGAGGAAGGUAACGCGGAGGCUCAGCCUGUUCCCUCCGGCACCCCGGGUGACCCCGCAGCACCGACCGUUCUCCUCCUCUCCUCCUCUGCAGGGUUUUGGACCCACUCGGUCAUUUCCCCCUUCUCCCCUUCCUUAGCGUCGCUACUUCCAUAAGGAUAUGUUUUCUCAUUUAGGCAGUAAGUAUCUCAGUACUCAAUGGUCUAAUUCUGUCUUCUUUCAGGUAAUUGUUUUUCCGCCUCGGGGAUAAAUCCUCUUGCGCUCUGGAGUACAGUUACACCCUCUGCUCAGUUUGAGUGCUUGCGGACAGGUUGGGUGCAGCUCUUCCCUUUUUUUUAGUAACCCCCAGCAGAAAACGUCAUCUGUACCACAUUGCAGCUCAGGAGUUAAACAGUCAAAAUGUUCAGCUCUUUCUCCUAUUAUCUCUCUCCUUGUUGCAUGAAUAACAUGCAACUGGGUUGUUUUUUUUUUUCCAGUAAUUUAUGCAGUAACAUAAAAUCCAUAUGUUGAUCUGUAGAUGUAAAAUGAGUUCCCUUUUAUCUUUUUCAUACCGUGUUUGCUAAAUGAUGCAUCAGGAUCGAUUCCAGCUGGCACAUGACUAUAUAUUCAGGAAAACUCCCUCAGCUUAUGUGAACUAGAUCUAGAUCUGGCACACUGCAAGAGCUCAGACCUCGUGUCAUUAAGAGGCAGAAGAGGAGAGAAAAACAGCUGGGAACGUUAAUGGAGAGAUUUGACGAUUCGGAUAGGACCGUCAGUCCAGUCCAGUCCCGGUCCCGUCGGAAAGCUCAGACGGCCGAUACAAAACGCCAGGGGUCUUGUCAGGGCUCACACCACGUUCUCAUGCCUCACGCUGAUAUACAGAGAAGAACUUCCGUAAGCAGAACAAGUGCCUGAGAAGUCCUUUUUCUCCCAAGUGAGGUGACGGAGUGCUUCCAGCACCCUGGGACUGGUUGGAGUAAAAAAAUGAUACUAAGUGCAAAGCAUAUAUUUUUGUCUUGCAAAAACUGUUGAGAUUUUUCUAAAGCUUGCUUUUCUGUUUGGGGACAAAACAGAGCGCUUUACGAGUUUGUCAGGAAAGAUGAAGGAAGGCAAACGAGCGAUUCUCUCGCAACAGCCUGGUGGCUGGGAUGUUCAUCUUGGGUGUGGGAGAUCGAGGUUGAAGUCAUUGCUGUGUCAUUCCCUCACAUCCUACAUGCUAUUGCCUGUUCCAGGGUGGAUCAGUCUCUCCUCUUGGAGCUGUUCCACCCUCUCUGGUCACUGGAACAGGUGCCUGAACAUGUCUCUCUCUCUCCCUUCUAGGUGAAUGAGUUAUUCACCAGGUAUCUCUUUGGGUCAGUAACUAUUGAACUAUUUCCACUAAAUGGAAUAGCACCAGCGUAGGUGCCUCUUUUUCCUUCUCUUCUUCAGCAGCUGUUAGGACUUUCUCUGUGUUCAGUUUAAGCUGACCUACCUGCUCAAUUCCACCUUUCAUUCUGCUCCCCGAGGCAGAUUUCUGCCUCCACUUUUAUGCCAGCACUUGUGCUCAUCUCACCCUUGGUGAACUGGUUCAGGCAGCUAAACUGGUGGAAAAUGAUUCAUUUUUUUUUGUAGAACUAGCUUUGUGCGAGAUCAGCUCCCUGAAUUGCCUCGCUACAGGGUUAGCUCAAUGCGAGCGCCAGUACAGCAGAGGUGGCAGGCGUGCCGAUGGAUGGCAGGACCAAGGCAGUGCAGCCUUGGAUCAUCUUAAACUGCUGUGGAACUGCAGGCUCAGGCAGAAGUCCCCGCUCCGCCUGGUCUUAACCAUUUGAGUAGGAGUUUGGGGGAGAGGGGGUUCCUUUGUCUCUCAAUGUAUUAACAUAUACUUGAUCCUGGGCCUAAAAAACUUUACCCAGUAUCAUCAAAAUCAGUAAAAUCUCGUGAUGCGAAAUCAGAGUUUUCUGGCCAAAACCUCCAUAUUUCCUCCUAAAAUUUCCUGUCUAGCUGAAGAGAGAAAGAAAGAAUCUGACUCCUAUAACGACUUAUAGCAGAACAAACGAGUAAAGCUCCUGCCCCAGCCCCAAGCAGAUAGGACUACGUGCCUUGUGCUCGCGUUGGUGGCAGAAGUCCUGCAGCACCAUGACAGACUAAAGGCCAGUUUUCUCUCGGGAAUUCUUAGGAUCCCAAAGCACACAUGAAACCAGCCUCAUGACCUCUUAAUGAUGGUCAUGCUCGGGUUACAAUGUUCAGUUCCCUGUGGGCGAAGGAGAGAGAGGGUGUGAGCGCCUGCACGCUCUGCAAAGGAAGAAGGGGGAUGGUGCGGUUGCAAAUUGUUCCCAGCUUCGCUGUGCUGCUGGUGGAAAACUUUCUAAAUGUUGGCUGGCCUGGUGCGUGGCUGCAUUAAAAAUGUGAUAAUUGGUGUGAGUUUACAAUUAGUUUAUUACAAUGAUCUCACUUAAGUUUUUUUGGGGGACGAAUGUCCAAACUUCUCCUGUAUUUUCAGGCGCUAAUAAUUUUGAAGAAUGAGUAACUAUUUGAAUUAAGAUUUCUUCUGUGCAUCUAAACUUGAAAGCAAUCCUUAGAAUAGAACUGUGCAAAGAGCUUGCUUUCAAACUAUGCUGAAAUGCAUCUUUUUAUGUUCUCGUAUGGCAGUUUUUAGAAAUUAGAACUCCGCUUCCAGAAACUAAAAAGAGAAGAUGCAGUCCAGCAGAUCUUAUUCAUGAAAAAUUCCCAAAACCCUUUUAUUCAGUGGGAGUUUCACACUGAGAAAGGCCACAAGAUGAGUGAUCCUGAUGCUGGGUCCAGGCAGCACAGGGAGAAAACCACUGGACUGAAAAGCAGCGGGAGCAAGACCUGAGCGUGUACUGACAGGAACCUGCUAUGAAGAGAGGACCUGGUCCACCGCUGGAUGCUUAAUUUCUUUCGCAGACAUCUGCUCAGACAAGGUGCCAGCUCAGUGAAACUGUAGCCUUGUAGCCAUGCUCUGUACAGUCCGUAUUCAGAGAAAGCCACGUCGUUCAACUUGUGUUCAAGCCAUGGCUGAGUGCAGCCUCAUGGACCGGUAGUACCUGGAAUUCCUCUGAAUGGCAAUGUAAUGUGUGUGUGACUCUUCCUCACCUUCGGAGAUUGAUCCUGCCUCUGUUAAUACCUGCUGAGGAGCGCCUUGCCAGAGCCCACUGGCGGAGAGCCCACCGGCAGCUCCUCCGCUGUGCCUGUCCAUGGCUUCCAGAUCUUGUCUCUAUGGCAACUGAGACGAUCCAUCAGCAGCGGAGCAGCAGAAGACAGGAUCAGUCAAGCUAUUGGGUGACAGAGAAUGAAUAAGUCAAGCAAGUGUGGACCAUAACUGUCUUUGUCUGGGUAUC